UGCGUAGGUGGUCGUUUAAGUCCGUUGUGAAAGCCCUGGGCUCAACCUGGGAACUGCAGUGGAUACUGGGCGACUAGAGUGUGGUAGAGGGUAGCGGAAUUCCUGGUGUAGCAGUGAAAUGCGUAGAGAUCAGGAGGAACAUCCAUGGCGAAGGCAGCUACCUGGACCAACACUGACACUGAGGCACGAAAGCGUGGGGAGCAAACA
rnacentral:rRNA from 1 species